UUGGGGUGCAAAUAUUGUACCUCUCCAUUAGGGAACACCCUAUAAAAUUGGUACUUAAUCUUGUACUUGGACCUUAGCCUAGUCCCAAGUGCCAAACACUGCUCUUUCCUAGCCAAUUUCAAUAGAUUUGGGCCCUGCCUCAUUAUGGCGGCUCCACCGGUGGGCAUCUCGAAAAUUUGUUCCUUAGGCGAGUCCCAUGUGAUGACGUAGAAUUCUUCCACCUGAGCCUUGCGCAAUAGGCCGCCCGUGCUGCCACCAAAGAUUGGUGAUGGUGUGUUAGGAUCCAAUUCUGGCGGGGUGAAGCCCACCGGAGCCUCCUUCUCUACCUCUUUCGUG
rnacentral:lncRNA from 1 species